AUUGAACGCUGGCGGCAGGCUUAACACAUGCAAGUCGAGCGGGGUGAUGGUGCUUGCACUAUCACUUAGCGGCGGACGGGUGAGUAAUGCUUAGGAAUCUGCCUAUUAGUGGGGGACAACAUUUCGAAAGGAAUGCUAAUACCGCAUACGUCCUACGGGAGAAAGCAGGGGAUCUUCGGACCUUGCGCUAAUAGAUGAGCCUAAGUCGGAUUAGCUAGUUGGUGGGGUAAAGGCCUACCAAGGCGACGAUCUGUAGCGGGUCUGAGAGGAUGAUCCGCCACACUGGGACUGAGACACGGCCCAGACUCCUACGGGAGGCAGCAGUGGGGAAUAUUGGACAAUGGGCGGAAGCCUGAUCUAGCCAUGCCGCGUGUGUGAAGAAGGCCUUAUGGUUGUAAAGCACUUUAAGCGAGGAGGAGGCUACUUUAGAUAAUACCUAGAGAUAGUGGACGUUACUCGCAGAAUAAGCACCGGCUAACUCUGUGCCAGCCGCCGCAGUAAAAC
rnacentral:rRNA from 1 species